UAGUGCUACAAUGCAAUCUUUCUGGAGACACCAGCACCCAAAGGUGAUAAGCGUUUGGAGGAACUUCUCCAUUUCUUCUCCAUCCCUCAAUAGAGAAAGACAGGAAGGAUGAGAGGUUGACCUCAGCUACAAAAUUAUACACUUCAGUCCUGUCAAGUGGAACCUUAUUAAAUUCUGUCAGCAGGAAUCAGGUCCUUGGCAUAGCAGAGUGACUUAUGAAUGUUAGUUCCUCGUCUUGUCUUCUGAGAUACUUCUGUAAAUCUCCCUUGAGACCUCUGGACUGAGAAGUCAAAGAUAAAACAUUGUUUGUGAAAAAUGUUCUUCAAGUAGUAACUGGAUGUCUCUGCAGUUUACUGAUUGUGUGUUUCUAUUUUGGUGCAUUAUGUUUGAAUUAUUUAAUCCCUUUAAUUUCUGGAGAGGUCUUUAAUGAACCAGAUUAAAAUAUAUUGCAUUUUGGAAUGUGUAUUGUAGGAUUCAUGUAUUUUCAUCUACUAGUUUCUUCAAGGUUGUUGUUGGUCCUUUUCUGCUGAUGAGAUUGACAAGGCUGGGAGUUGUGAAAAGGUUGGGAAAGUAUGGAUUGUAACUGCUCAGAUGUUUUUCUGUGCAGGUUUCAGGUAGUAAUAGGGUCUGCAUAAUUUUGAAUAUAAGUAUAAAUUUAUGUUGAAAAAAUGUUCAAUCUACUUUAUCACUUUUUUUUUUUUUUUUUUUUUUUGAGGUAUAAUUGCUAUAACCACUGCUCCUAGAUUGUAACAAUGCACGCUAACACCAAAAUCAAUUCAAAAUCUAAGGGAGAUACUUUAUUUAGUGUUAAAAGCUUUGGAAAUUUCAAGAAAAAGUUUGUCUAUCUGA